CCGGGGAGGAGCCGGGGCCUGCAGUGGAGCUGCAGCCAGGAGCGGGAGCGGCGGGGCCUGGAGAGAUUCAGCGCUGCUCGGUUGGGGUCCCUCGCACCGGAACCCGGGGAGACCCCCCGGGACGAAGCCGAGGCCCGGCAGAAGGUGGCGGAGGCGGCCGCUCAUCCCCGCGAGCUGUCGCGGCCUCCCGUGGUAGCCGGGCCCGGGCAAGAGGAGCUAGGGCCUGGGGGGAAGCCAGGGACAAUCUCCGGGCAGCCGGGGUGGGGGGACACCCCCAUAACCUGCAGGGGUGGGGGAGAGACCCUACCCACCGCCCCCGCCCCAUCCGCAGCCGUGAAGGGACACCCCGUUAGGCUCACGGCGGCGGGGGACACCCCGGCGGCCCCUCGCCGGCCCCGCCUCGCUGGCAGGCCGGGGCGCACCCUCCUGCCACCCCCCUUCCCUGCAGCUGGUGGGGAGCUUAACACUUGCCCCCAUCCCCACUAACGACUCAAGGGUGGGCAGAGGUCCUUGGCACUAAGCUCUCGUAACUAACUAGAAUCGGGUCUGCUCUUCCUCUCUGUGGAAUAGCGCCUGCUGGAGCUCCCUCAAUAUCUGUUUUGUGGAGAGGUGUUCUCGGACCCCAGUUCCUGAGGGUUUUGAAAAUAACCCUUACCACCUACUACCCCUGCUACGGAGGAAAUUCUUCCCCCAAGCAGAGGAGGAGAUAGCCGUUUCCCAGACCAACUAGUAACAGGGCAGCCUUCACGGAAGAAACCCCUUAUGCCCAAGAGAGGCAGUCCCCAAGACAGAAAUAAGCAGGAGCUCCUGAUACUACCUAUUAAUUUUGAUUAUUUAUAUCUGCUUAGCAGGCAACAGAAAAAGCAAAUCAGGGGAGAGAAAGCAGAGGCAGAUUUAGAUACUCUUCUUCCCUUUUCCAGUUGCUGUUAACCACUGGAGAUAAAGGUAAUUUCCAAUACUGACCUCAUCCUCCUCCAUCCCAAGGAAGAUCCCUCAUCCUCUAAUCCCAAGAGAGUUUUUUUCAAAUAUCCUGUGCAAGGAGAGAAAACACACCUCCCAAUUCCAGGGAAAGAAAAAGCAGAUUUUGCUAGUAAUAUCCACGGAGAUAGCAAGAUUUAUUUUUUUUUCCCAGAGAAACAGAUCUGUCCACACUUAAAGGACAAGGUGCACCUAGAGAAAGGAGGAAAGAGGUUUACAGGUAGGGACAUUGGAAAAACUGAUCUCAGAUAAUCUGAGAAUCAGUGAAAAGCCUGUCUUCCAGGGAACACUGCUUUAGCAGUUAGCUGCCAGAGGGGAGAGAAGAUCUCCAUCCUGGGAUAAAACCAGCAGGUUUAGGGGACUGACAAUCCUGAACAGAUUGUUUUAAUACUGAAGAUCCUGAUUUCAUCCACCAUCCCUUCGCCCUCAAAAUAUUUCUUGAAGAAGCUCCUGGAAUAGCUGACAGCAAUGCUCUGAGGAUGGGUCUCGGAGAAGGAGCGUGAAGGGC
rnacentral:lncRNA from 14 species